rnacentral:rRNA from 1 species
AAUCCAGAGAUGGAUUUGUGCCUUCGGGAACUGUGAGACAGGUGCUGCAUGGCUGUCGUCAGCUCGUGUUGUGAAAUGUUGGGUUAAAUCCCGCAACGAGCGCAACCCUUAUCCUUUGUUGCCAGCGAUUAGGUCGGGAACUCAAAGGAGACUGCCAGUGAUAAACUGGAGGAAGGUGGGGAUGACGUCAAGUCAUCAUGGCCCUUACGACCAGGGCUACACACGUGCUACAAUGGCGCAUACAAAGAGAAGCGACCUCGC